GGAAAUUGCAUUUUAAGUGAAAAUGAGAUCUACAAGCUUCAGGCGUCCGCCUCGUUGGCCGUUUCAAUCCGAACAGCCUGUGGCCCUGUGCGUGUCAACCUCUUCGCCUCCAGCUCGACCUUUCGCUGCCAUAUCGCGUACGGCGUACCCAUCACCAGGGGCAUCGUGCGGCUUGCUUCUUCAACGGCGACGGCGAGCUAAGCCACCGGGCGGCAGUGAGCAGGGGAAUUGAGGCAAAUUCGCCCAAUGUUACACUGAGACCUAAUCUGCGGUUCGAAUUCUCCUUCACCGAUGGACGGCGGCGGCUCCUGGUAGCUCGAAUGGCCGAUGGACGAGCGCCCCGGAGGGCGGCGGCGGCGGACGGUCAGCUAGCGGCCGAGCAGCGAGCAAUACGGAGGAGGGGGGCUAAUCUGUAUAAGUUAG
rnacentral:lncRNA from 1 species